rnacentral:SRP_RNA from 1 species
GCUGGGUGUAGUGGGUGUGCCUGUAGUCCCAACUACUAAGGAGGCUGAGGUGGGGGGAUUGCUUGAGCCUGGAAGGUUGAGGCUGCAGUGAGUCCUGAUCACCACUGCACUCCAGCCUGGGCAAUAGAGCAAGACCCUGUCUCAA